GUGGUCACAUGCUAAAUGUCACAGUGGGUGGCAAAGCUGUACAAGAAGAAGGCGGAAGGUCUGUCACAAAUGAUGGAGGGAGGCAGCCAGUGCUGAAGCCAUGGAUGAAAAUCACUCUGAGAAGCUUUUCAGAGCUUGGCUGGGGACACAGAAAGGUAAAAUAGAACAUCGUAGCCCAUCCCAUUCAGGCAAUGAUUUAAGGUUUAAAGUGCAGUCAAUCCAGCUGGGGUGCUUAGCAACAGAUCGUCCACUACCACCAGUACCAGGUUAUCCAUUUAGGAGCAGGAACACAGAACAAGGUGGCCUGGAUGGAUGA
rnacentral:lncRNA from 1 species